rnacentral:snRNA from 1 species
AUACUUACUGGCGCGGGGGAUACCGUGAUCAGAAGGCGGGUGCCUCCAGGACGAGGCCUGUACAUUGCCACUCCGUAUGGGCUGACCCUGCCCUGACGACUACUAAAUCCAAAUCGGGGUGGCUCGAGCGCAUAAUUUUUUUGGUAGUGGGAGACAAGCGUUCGCGCUGUCCUUUC